UAUGUAGGUGGCGAGCGUUGUCCGGAUUUACUGGGCGUAAAGAGCGCGCAGGCGGUCGUACAAGUCGCGUGUGAAAGCCCCUGGCUCAACUGGGGAGGGUCACGCGAUACUGUUCGACUUGAAGGCAGGAGAGGGAAGUGGAAUUCCCGGUGUAGUGGUGAAAUGCGUAGAUAUCGGGAGGAACACCAGUGGCGAAGGCGACUUCCUGGCCUGUUCUUGACGCUGAGGCGCGAAAGCUAGGGUAGCAAACGGG
rnacentral:rRNA from 1 species